rnacentral:snRNA from 1 species
GGAUGUGAGGGCGAUCUGGCUGCGACAUCUGUCACCCCAUUGAUCGCCAGGGUUGAUUCGGCUGAUCUGGCUGGCUAGGCAGGUUUCCCCUUCCUCCCUCACCGCUCCAUGUGCGUCCCUCCCGAAGCUUCGCGCUCGGUCGAGGAGGACGACCUUCCCCAAGAGAGGAGAGGAACGUUCUUCGGUCAAGGGUAUACGAGUAGCUGCGCUCCCCUGCUAGAACCUCCAAACAAGCUCUCAAGGUCCUAUUGUUUUUGGGGGGGAGGAAAUAAAUGCUAUUUUGGGGUUAAAAACUUUAGAAUCCUACCGAAAGAAGAAACAAAAAGACUUC